CAGUCGCCACGGUAAUACAGAGGGUGCGAGCGUUAAUCGGAUUUACUGGGCGUAAAGCGUGCGUAGGCGGCUUCUUAAGUCGGAUGUGAAAUCCCUGAGCUUAACUUAGGAAUUGCAUUCGAUACUGGGAAGCUAGAGUAUGGGAGAGGAUGGUAGAAUUCCAGGUGUAGCGGUGAAAUGCGUAGAGAUCUGGAGGAAUACCGAUGGCGAAGGCAGCCAUCUGGCCUAAUACUGACGCUGAGGUACGAAAGCAUGGGGAGCAAACAGGAUUAGUACCCCAGUAGUCCCUGUCUCUUAUACA
rnacentral:rRNA from 1 species